rnacentral:misc_RNA from 1 species
UAAUAAGUGUUUUAUGGCACUUUUUAAAUCCAUAUCCACCUUGUGUGCAAUGUCAGUCGGUUUUUCUUUUUCGUCAAGAAAAAAAGGAUCGACCAAACAUCAACUUAUUCUAAUUGAACUUUUGUCUGAAAACUAUUAUGAAUAAACUAAUUCAAAAUA